UACGUAGGGUGCAAGCGUUGUCCGGAAUUAUUGGGCGUAAAGAGCUCGUAGGCGGUUUGUCGCGUCUGCUGUGAAAACUCGGGGCUUAACCCCGGGCCUGCAGUGGGUACGGGCAGACUAGAGUGCGGUAGGGGAGACUGGAAUUCCCGGUGUAGCGGUGAAAUGCGCAGAUAUCAGGAGGAACACCGGUGGCGAAGGCGGGUCUCUGGGCCGAUACUGACGCUGAGAAGCGAAAGCAUGGGGAGCGAACAGG
rnacentral:rRNA from 1 species